rnacentral:rRNA from 1 species
ACCUGCGGAAGGAUCAUUAUAGUAUUCUAUUGCCAGCGCUUAAUUGCGCGGCGAUAAACCUUACACACAUUGUCUAGUUUUUUUGAACUUUGCUUUGGGUGCAUCAGCCUAGCUGCGUGCCCAAAGGUCUAAACACAUUUUUUUAAUGUUAAAACCUUUAACCAAUAGUCAUGAAAAUUUUUAACAAAAAUUAAAAUCUUCAAAACUUUCAACAACGGAUCUCUUGGUUCUCGCAACGAUGAAGAACGCAGCGAAAUGCGAUACGUAUUGUGAAUUGCAGAUUUUCGUGAAUCAUCGAAUCUUUGAACGCACAUUGCACCCUCUGGUAUUCCAGAGGGUAUGCCUGUUUGAGCGUCAUUUCUCUCUCAAACCUUCGGGUUUGGUAUUGAGUGAUACUCUGUCAAGGGUUAACUUGAAAUAUUGACUUAGCAAGAGUGUACUAAUAAGCAGUCUUUCUGAAAUAAUGUAUUAGGUUCUUCCAACUCGUUAUAUCAGCUAGGCAGGUUUAGAAGUAUUUUAGGCUCGGCUUAACAACAAUAAACUAAAAGUUUGACCUCAAAUCAGGUAGGACUACCCGCUGAACUUAAGCAUAUCAAUAAGCGGAGGAAAAGAAACCAACAGGGAUUGCCUCAGUAACGGCGAGUGAAGCGGCAAAAGCUCAAAUUUGAAAUCUAGCACCUUCGGUGUUCGAGUUGUAAUUUGAAGAUGGUAACCUUGGGUUUGGCUCUUGUCUAUGUUCCUUGGAACAGGACGUCAUAGAGGGUGAGAAUCCCGUCUGAUGAGAUGCCCAUUCCUAUGUAAGGUGCUAUCGAAGAGUCGAGUUGUUUGGGAAUGCAGC